UUCAAAUCAUCUCUCAGGGUACAUGUAAGUAUUUUUGCAUCAGCGAGAUUAUUGGUGGCAUGAAGGAUGCCAAGACAUUUGUGCUUAGCAACAUUUGAUAAGAAAAGGAAAUUUCUUUAAGUGGAAAGCAUGUGAGAGAAGGCUUAACAUGUGUUGUUUGAGUUUGAAGGACAAAUAAAGCACCUAAACACGAUUCUUGAUGCAGUCGUCUCUAAAGCUUUUAAUGCUUUCAAGGCAGCUAAAAGAGCAAGGGAGUUGGUGAUAUCCAAGAGUGUAUUGAGAUCUUCAUCUCUUCCCCGGAAAAUCGCUGAUUGUUCAUCAUCAAAUUCUGAAAACUGUGGUAUGCUUCUGUUUUACAGAUUUGUGUUUGCUUUUUUGAAAGAAAUUUAUUUCAAUUAAAGUUGUGCUGACACUUUUUUUUGAUUUAGAUUAAUGCGAAAAUAGUUAUUCAUCUCAUCUACAUUUGUAUAACUGUGCUCUACGUUUAUGCAAACUUCACACAUGUUAUCGUGUAGAGCUAGGAGGUGUCUUCCAGCAUAGUUGUUUCAUGUCAAAUGAGCUGAGAGAUACUUCUAGAAUUACCAUUUGUUACCUUUACAUCACAGUGGCAGGAAAUUUAGAAUUACUUUGUGAGUGAAGUUUUCACAUUUCGUUUUGGCUUUAACUUUUCCACACAUUUUUAUAAUUGCUUGUAUUUUUUGUUAAGUGACUCAUGGAGCAGUUAAUUGUAAGAGUCUAUGUAUUUAUCAGAUCGUGUAUGUUGCAGUCCAUUCUCCCAUUGAGGGAUAAGAUUCUGAAUAUUGAAAAGAGGGGUGAAGCGGCAAUGUACAAAAAUGAAGAGAUCCAAAAUUUAAUCCUUGGUCUCGGUCUCGGAGUGAAGGUUAAAAUCAUUCUGAAUAUCUAAAAACAUGUUAACUAAGUUAUUGGUUAUAUUUAGUGUAAAUACUAACUAAAACAACUAUAUUGAAAUUGAAAUACAAUCCUUCUAUUAUUAAUUAUUUAAGUCAAAAUGUGUUUUUUUGGUUCAGGGAGAGUAUUUUAAAAAGGAUGCACUUCCAUAUCAUAAGAUUAUUAUUAUUUUAACUGAUACUGAUGUAGAUGGUACUCACAUCCGUACUCUGCUACUGACAUUUUUCUAUAGAUAUCAGGUAAUUAUAAAGGCAUAGGCGUGAAAUAAGUUCCUACAUGGAACAGUAAAACAAGUUGGUUCCCUUGAGAAUAUUAGAUCAAAAUGAUGAAGGUUACAUAUAUGUUGGAAGUGUUCCGCCACUUUACAAGUCAGGUUGUAAGGGAAAAAUAAGUGCACUAUUUUUAUGAUGAAGCCGAUCUCAAAAAACUCAAGAGUUCAUUCCUUUCUAAUGCAUCAUACAACAUGCAAAGGUUCAAAGGGCUGGGAGAGAUGAUGCCUUUGCAACUAUGGCAGACAACCAUGGAUCCAGAACAGCAGUUGUUGAACAAGUUGACGGCUGAGGAUGCAGCUGAAGCAAAUAUUGUUUUUUCAUCCCUUAUGGGUGCUCGGGUGGAUGUUCGGAAGGAGCUGAUACGAAAUGCCGCAAACAUGAUUGAUCUUGAUCAGUUAGAUAUUUGAUGAUGAUGCUACAUGGUAUGGAAGAAACAAAAUUUUUCCUUCUUAUUAACAACCAUACACUACAUCUUAGUCAAGCACAGAUUACUCUAUAUGUUCGCGGAAGAUAGAAAGUCUUUCUUAAUUGAAGCCUGGUGUGCCUGUUAUUUUUUGAAGCAUUUUCACUGGCUAUAGUGGAGUGGUCAUUUGCACUUGCUGGGAAAGUUUUUAGAGCCGUGGUUGAAAUCUAAUUUGAUUUCUACAAAUAUGACAAAAGUGUGCAUUUUUCUGAUAUGACAUUGUGCUAAGUUUUGUGUAAUCUUAUUAAUACACUUUGAGAUGUUACAUUACACUCUUCAAAAGUUAACAACUACUGAACUGUAUUAUAUUUAUGU